UGUUACUCUAUGAGGAAGUACUAGCUAAGCUUUGUCUAUUUAGUUGCUCAGAAUUUUGACUUCAUCAGAUGCGCAGUUUGCUAUGCCUAGGCCCAUAACCCAGUGGUAUAACGUUCUCAAUGCAUGCAAGACUCAAUGUUUAACUAGCCUGUUUACUCACAGACACAUCUGCCUAGCAAUUUUUAGUCUGAAGUCACUGGCCUGUAUAGUUGCACGAGAGGUCAUGGGAUUGUAGUCAACGAUUCGGACACAAGAGUAUAGCAUGUCUUGGAUAGCAGUCUAUGUACCUUAUGCUAACUAAUCUAUCCGCACUAGCCUGUUUAAUUAACUAGUAUAAUGUAC